rnacentral:rRNA from 1 species
UGGGGAAUUUUGGACAAUGGGCGCAAGCCUGAUCCAGCAAUGCCGCGUGCAGGAUGAAGGCCUUCGGGUUGUAAACUGCUUUUGUACGGAACGAAAAGGCUCUGGUUAAUACCUGGGGCUCAUGACGGUACCGUAAGAAUAAGCACCGGCUAACUACGUGCCAGCAGCCGCGGUAAUACGUAGGGUGCAAGCGUUAAUCGGAAUUACUGGGCGUAAAGCGUGCGCAGGCGGUGAUGUAAGACAGGUGUGAAAUCCCCGGGCUUAACCUGGGAAUUGCAUUUGUGACUGCAUCGCUGGAGUGCGGCAGAGGGGGAUGGAAUUCCGCGUGUAGCAGUGAGAUGCGUAGAUAUGCGGAGGAACACCGAUGGCGAGGGCAAUCCCCUGGGGCUGCACUGACGCUCAUGCAAGAAAGCGUGGGGAGCAAACA